UUAUCGAUUUCUAAUUUUGUAAAAACGACCACAACACUAAUGAAAAACUCAUUCGUGAUCUGGAGUUUUAAGCGGACGAAGCACACAAAAGUGAAAUAAAGCAUCACGCCUUGUAAAGCGUUUUUUCUCAGCAAAAGGCUAGCUCUUAUUUUUUCGUUCCUCGCCAGAUCACGUUUCAACAGCCUUUAUUUCACUUUUCGCCAAAGAAGAAACAGCAAGUGAGGUGCGUGAAUAGCAGUACGCAGGUGGAGUAUAAUUGCCCAGCGGACUUGGUAAAAAGUGUGCACCAGAAGUAUUGAGUGUGCAUCUCCGGGAGUAUUGAGCGUGCAUCGGCUACAUUGGGUUGUGCACCAGCAUUUUUAAGUCGUACAGGCGAAACUAAAUUGUGCACCAGCGUUGGGGGUCGGUUCGCGGUAGUAUAAGUAUGGAUCAGCCGGCUUAAUUUCGCAUUCGGAAUAUUAAAGCGCGCACCAGGGCUCAGUAAGUGUAAAAGAUUUUUAGACAUGUAUCAAGGAGAGAGGUGGCGUUUAGUUCGUCGAAGAAGACUUUGCUUUAAUUGUUUGAAAGGCAAUCACCGUAGCAGCGUUUGUCAAGAACAACAUGAAUGUGAACGAGAAUAGAACGUGUACGCGAGGUAUCGCAUAGGCAAAAAGCGUCACGGCAAGCAUCGAAUCACGUAGCUCAGCAGCAGCAACAAGCCGCGCAGCUACAACCCGCUCCGCCGGAGGGAAUACAACAAGUUUUUACGAAUACUAUCCCGUCUAACAAAGCAUCGAAGUUUUUAUUUAAAAUUAUACCGGUUAUGUUGUACGCAAAUUCGAAAGAAAUCAAAACUUAUGCGUUUUUCGACGAAUGGUCUGCUAUAUCACUAAUCAACCGUGACUUAGUAACUCGUCUUGGGCUUAAGGGGUACAGCGAUAGUCUAACGUUGCAAUGGUUCGGCAGCACAACUGUCGCUGAACCUUCUGGUAGGGUAGAUGUAGAGAUUUCCGGUAUUGAGCAAGGUAGCAAGAAGUUUAAUAUGCGAGGCGUGCGUACGGUUUCAAAUCUCCAAUUGCCAAUGCAUUCAAUAAGCCUAUCGGACCUUCAUUAUAAGAAUCGACAUCUGCCAUUCCGCGAGUAUUCUGGUGCUGUGCCCGAACUCCUGAUAGGAUUAGACGACGCGUAUCUCGGAGUACCACGACGAACGGCUCACGACGGUAGCAGAGUUUAUGCGGUGGUGCUGACAAAACUUGGAUGGGUAAUUUACGGAUCAGGAAGUCGUCCAGCUACCCAUGCGCAUUAUUAUAUCAUACGAAGAAACUGUUAGAGGAGAAUACUAAGCGCUAUGGACAUCGAUUCGAAACAUGCUUAUUGUGGAAACACGAUAACAUAGAGUAGGCGACGAGCCGAGAGAUGGCAGAGAGAAGGUUUUACACACUGGAAAGAAGACUUAAACGCAACGAUAAUUUGAGUAAGGCAUACACUACGAUCAUGGCGGAGUACGUAGCGAAGGGAUACGCCCGAAAGCUUAGUAAAGAGGAAGCUGCAGUCAAAGACAAGCGUACGUGGUACCUGCCUCACUUCGGGGUGUAUAACCCAAACAAGCCUGGGAAAAUCAGGUUGGUGCUCAAUGCUGCAGCAGAGUCGGAAGGGGUUUCCUUAAAUUCAGCGAUAUUGAGUGGGCCAGAUUUAUCGCAGCCGUUAAGGACGGUACUAAUGAAGUUUCGACAGAAGCCAAUUGGAGUUUGUGCAGACAUUGUGGAGAUGUUUCUCCAAGUGAAGAUCCGGAAGGAAGAUCUGUCAUCGCAGCGUUUCCUUUGGAGAUUCGAUUCCGGGGCGCCGUUGGAAGAGUACGUAAUGAAUGUGAUGACCUUCGGAGCCACAUGCUCACCGUGCGCAGCGCAGUUUGUAAUGAACAGAAACGCCGAGGAUUUUCAUACUACGCGAGCGAUACAUCUUGAAAUAGCAAAAGACUUGACUACUAAUACUUGCCUGAUGAUUUUAAGGAACUCUAUGAGUAGGCGAGGUGUUCCUGUACAAAUACGGUCGGACAAUUGUACGAAUUUUGUCGGCGCUGACCGAGAGCUGAAGUGACAACUGAAGCAGUUCGAGGACGGUAAGAUAGCUGAUGCACUUGCAAAUAAGAAUAUAGAGUGGAUCUUUAAUUGUCCCUCGAAUCCCCACGCCGGAGGUUGCUCGGAGCGCUUAGUGCGAAGUGUUAAAAGAGCAAUGGGGCAUGCAUUAUAUAACGAAAAUCACCAUGGCCUAUACCACCUAAUGUGCGAAGCGGAAAACAUCGUUAAUUCGCGGCCUUUGACUGACGUACCGUUGGACGCCACGACUGACGAACCACUAACCCCAAAUCAUUUCCUUAUAGGUACAGCCAAUUCCGAUCAAACGCCACACCCGCAGUAAGAGAAGUUCCGGGCGUCGAAUUAACAGUGGCGAAAGGUUCAGCAGAUGCAGUAUCAUUUCUGGAGAAAGUGGGUCGACGUAUACUUACCCGACCUCGUCCAGAGAAUCAAAUGGUAACAACCAGUGAAGCCAUUAGCCGUAGGUGACGUCGUCCUUGUAUGCGAUGGCUGUCUGCAUCGCUCGAAAUGGCCUAUGGGACGAUUGACAAAAGUAUUUCCUGGUAAAGAUGGUCAGGAUAGAUCAGCAGAAGUCCACACGAAGAUGGGUACGUUCAAGCGGCCGGCUUGCAUCUUAGCUAAGCUGGAAUUGGGUAAAUCUGGUUAGAUUUACGGGGGAGGGGCUGUUAGCGCAGUUACUUGCUUGUUCAUUCAAAUGUAUUAGUCUACUUGUACCUUAAUGUUGUUAGAGUAGAUACUUGCUUGUUCCAGCGAACCAAUCCUCUGUUUGUACCUUAAUGUAAUGUAAUAAUUGUUAUCGAUUUCUAAAUUGGUAAAAACGACCACAUCACUAAUGAAAAACUCAUUCGUGAUCUGGAGUUUUAAGCGGAGGAAGCACGCAAAAGUGUAAAGGCUCUGUUAUGCAUACUUGGCAUUGCAUGCACUGCUAUACCAUUUUUACGUAGAAAUCAAAAACCAACAGACUUUUACGUAUGUAAUGCUGUGCGUUGGGUAACCGCUUACACUCGAAGCUCAUUUAACAGAUUCCUUAUAUGACAACUCUCAAGCAAUGCCAAGAAAUAAAGCAUCACGCCUUGUAAAGCGUUUUUUCUCAGCAAAAUGCUAGCUCUUAUUUUUUCGUUCCUCGCCAGAUCACGUUUCAACAGAUACACCUGUACGUCCUCUCUCAUAACGAUUUGAAGUAAAUACAACAUUAAUAAUAAAAAAAGCAGAUAAAAACGUAAAUAAAGGCUAAUGUUACAGUUCUGCACUCAUAUGUUUUUAAUAACUUUUUGACAUCUUUCGCGAAAAAAGGAAUUAUUAACACAAUGUUCAGUAUACGUCAGCUUUUUUUUAGUUCCUGGAUACAAUUUGGCAUAUCUAAUGUGUAUCUCUGUAAAAAUUCUGGAGGUAUAGCCUUGCUUUGCUUUCACAGCUCAUGUACUCAACUGGAAG
rnacentral:lncRNA from 1 species